GAGUCGGACCUGCCCAGUGAUUGAUUUUUCAACGGCCGCGGUACUCUGACCGUGCAAAGGUAGCAUAAUCAUUUGCCCUAUAAUUGAGGGCUAGUAUGAAUGGUUUGACGUGAGCAAGACUGUCUCUAUGUGGUUUGCUAAAACUUGAUUUUUAGGUGAAGAAACCUAGAUUUCAUUGAUAGACAAGAAGACCCUAUUGAGCUUUAAAAAAAUAGAUUGAGAAUAAUAUAUAGCUUUAAAUAUUAAUCUACCUAAAAUUUUGGUUGGGGCGACUGUGGAACAAACAAAGCUUCUUUAUACCUAAAAGACUCACAGGUUUUGAUCCAGAAAUUUUGAUUAAUGAAAUUAGUUACCAUAGGGAUAACAGCAUAAUUCUCUUCAAGAGUUCUUAUCGAAAAGAGAGUUUGUGACCUCGAUGUUGGACUAGAAUAUCCUGAAGAUGCAGCAGUCUUCAAUGGUUGGUC
rnacentral:rRNA from 1 species